GCCUGCAUAGUGCAGUGGUUUGAGUGUUGGACUAAGACUCUGGAGACCAGGGUUCAAAUCCCCACUUGGCCA